GAUGAACGCUGGCGGCGUGCCUAAUACAUGCAAGUCGAGCGAACAGACGAGGAUCUUGCUCCUCUUACGUUAGCGGCGGACGGGUGAGUAACACGUGGAUAACCUACCUAUAAGACUGGGAUAACUUCGGGAAACCGGAGCUAAUACCGGAUAAUAUAUUGAACCUCAUGGUUCAAUAGUGAACGACGGUUUUGCUGUCACUUAUAGAUGGAUCCGCGCCGCAUUAGCUAGUUGGUAAGGUAACGGCUUACCAAGGCUACGAUGCGUAGCCGACCUGAGAGGGUGAUCGGCCACACUGGAACUGAGACACGGUCCAGACUCCUACGGGAGGCAGCAGUAGGGAAUCUUCCGCAAUGGGCGAAAGCUUGACGGAGCAACGCCGCGUGAGUGAUGAAGGUCUUCGGAUCGUAAAACUCUGUUAUUAGGGAAGAACAAAUGUGUAAGUAACUAUGCACGUCUUGACGGUACCUAAUCAGAAAGCCACGGCUAACUACGUG
rnacentral:rRNA from 1 species